rnacentral:rRNA from 1 species
UACAGAGGUCCCAAGCGUUAUUCGGAUUCAUUGGGCGUAAAGGGUGCGUAGGUGGCGCUGUAAGUCGGGUGUGAAAUUUCGGAGCUUAACUCCGAAACUGCAUUCGAUACUGCGGUGCUUGAGGACUGGAGAGGAGACUGGAAUUCAUGGUGUAGCAGUGAAAUGCGUAGAUAUCAAGAGGAACACCUGCGGCGAAGGCGGGUUGCUGGGCCGACACUGACGCUGAUGCGCGAAAGCCAGGGGAGCGAACGGG